rnacentral:rRNA from 1 species
AUUGAACGCUGGCGGCAUGCUUUACACAUGCAAGUCGAACGGCAGCGCGGGCUUCGGCCUGGCGGCGAGUGGCGAACGGGUGAGUAAUACAUCGGAACGUGCCCAGUAGUGGGGGAUAGCUCGGCGAAAGCCGGAUUAAUACCGCAUACGACCUGAGGGUGAAAGCGGGGGAUCUUCGGACCUCGCGCUAUUGGAGCGGUCGAUGGCAGAUUAGCUAGUUGGUGGGGUAAAGGCCUACCAAGGCGACGAUCUGUAGCUGGUCUGAGAGGACGACCAGCCACACUGGGACUGAGACACGGCCCAGACUCCUACGGGAGGCAGCAGUGGGGAAUUUUGGACAAAGGGCGAAAGCCUGAUCCAGCAAUGCCGCGUGUGUGAUGAAGGCCUUCGGGUUGUAAAGCACUUUUGGCGGGAACGAAAAGGACUGUGCCAAUACCACGGUUCGAUGACGGUACCCGCAGAAUAAGCACCGGCUAACUACGUG